GCCUGGGUGGCUCAGUCGGUUUAGCCUCUGACUCUUGAUUUUGGCUCAGGUCAUGAUCUCAACGAUUUGUGGGUUCAAACCCCAUCUUGGGCU
rnacentral:tRNA from 1 species